rnacentral:rRNA from 1 species
GAUGAACGCUGGCGGCGUGCCUAAUACAUGCAAGUCGAGCGAACAGACGAGGAGCUUGCUCCUCUGACGUUAGCGGCGGACGGGUGAGUAACACGUGGAUAACCUACCUAUAAGACUGGGAUAACUUCGGGAAGCCGGAGCUAAUACCGGAUAAUAUAUUGAACAGCAUGGUUCAAUAGUGAAAGACGGUUUUGCUGUCACUUAUAGAUGGAUCCGCGCCGCAUUAGCUAGUUGGUAAGGUAACGGCUUACCAAGGCAACGAUGCGUAGCCGGCCUGAGAGGAUGAGCCCCCACAGUGGGACUGAGACACGGCCCAGACUCCGAGGGGAGGCAGCAGUGGGGAAUUUUCGACAAGGGGCGAAAGCCUGCAGGAGCAACGCCGGGUGAAGGAUGAAGGUUUUCGGGUCUUAAACUGCUUUUAUAAGGAAAGAAAAGUGUUUUAAUAAUAUAGGCGGGUCAUGACGGUACCUAAAGAAAAAGCCCGGGCUAACUCCGUG